AGUCUCGCAGUGGUAUUCAUCUCCGAUUCUCAGCCGUGGGAGUCUGCACUGUCUGACAGACAUUUCUGUCAUAAUGUGGCCAUCAUAAAAAUACAGAACACAGUAACCUUUCCCACUGAAGCAGUACCAGUGGUGGGUUGCUACCGGUUUGCCUUAGUUCGGGCGAACCGGUAGCAGCGGUAGUGGGAGGCUCUGCCAACCCAUCCAGGCAUCGUCAAAUACGAUCUGCGCAUGCCCAGAAGCUUCUGCGCAUGCGCAGACAGGGUGCGCAUGCAAGCGAAGCAAGCGCACAUGCGCGAGCAAACUGGUAGCAAAGGUAAGUAAAACCCACCCCUGAGCAGUACCUAUUUAUCUACUUGCAUUUGCUUGCUUUUGAACUGCUAGGUUGGCAGGAGCUGGGGCAAGUAAUGGAAGCUCAUCCCAUCCUGCAAUGUUCAGGUCUCGAACCCAAGCUGUCAGCUUUUCAGCUAAUAAGCUCAGCGUCUUAAUCACCAAGCCAAGAAGCCCUAUUAGGCUUAGGCCUGCUGUCCAUUUCAACUAAGUGACAAGAUUUAACAGAUUAACAGAGUUGGAAGGGAUCUUGCAGGUCAUCGAGUCCAACUCCCUGCCCAAGGAGGAGACCCUACAUCUACCUCUACCUAGGAUUGAACUCACAACCUCCUGAUUGUGAGGCAAGAGCUCCAGGUCUAGGUGAAUGGAAUGCCUUUCAUCUUUGUAUAUGAGCAGAAAAUAUAUGUUCAUGAAAAAAAAUGGGAAUCGUAGAAUUCUUUGCUCAGUCCAAAAUGAUUGUUUGGGCAGAAUUUUAAAGCACAAAAACAUUUUAAAAGCAGAUGCAACAACAAAGUUUAAUCUCCUUUAUCUCCAUCUUGUGGUGAAAAGAAGUAUUUUUUUUUAUACAGAGGCAGGAAACAAAACUGAAAUGUAUCUUUUCCCGCCCAGAGAUAAUUAUUCUUUUGAAAAAAGAAGACUGAAUAGUUAAAAGGUCUAUAUUUGCCACAUAACUUAAAUUUGCUUCUUGACAAAGACGCCUUUUUGUUAUGGGUGAUGGGAUGUGAGGAAAUAGAGUCUGUAAUAUGAUGUAUUUGAGAACAAUUACCCCAAUGGGUCUGUUUAACCUACUAAAAAGGAGGAUAUGAAGGGAAUGUAUAUACUGUGUAUCAUCUGGAAAUUGUCAGAAAAGCAAAUGAAGUAAACUAGGAACAUUUCCAAGACAAGCUGUAGUGAGUUUUCAGCUGACUGAAUUUUCAGCUCAAAAUGAAAUGAGAUUCUUGGAAUCAUAUAUCACCCAAUAUUUUAUAUCAUACUUGCCACCUUGUGGUAGAGCAUUGAGGUGCCAAAUCCCUUAUAUUUUUAAGAUAUAGCUGGGUAUAAUUUGUGAGAGAUUUUUUGAAAACAGGUGCAAUUGUUUGAAUUCUCAGAAAAAUCUUCAAAAUUUACUUUGAUAAAGUUAAAGUAAGAUCCUGGCCAAAGGGAGUCAAGAAAAACAGUUGUCCAUGUCCAUAGUACGGUAGAGUUGUUAGGACCAGACUUUCACUCUCCUCUUUUGUCACAGAAGGCUAUGAAAAAACAACCAUGAUCUGGAUGAUUGAGUAGCUCCAUAGACAUAUACAUUAUUUUUCUCUUCUAUCUGCAAUCACAGCAGAUCUAUCUGGAGCACAUGAGAAAGGACUUUGUUCUAGUGGCUCAAAAUAACCCAGGAAGGAAUGCCUUGUGUCCUAGGAAGGACAUUCGCAUAUACAAGGACAUUGAGGGAGCACCUAAAUUAUGAAAGAUCUACAAUAAUGACUCCUUAAUUAAAAUAUCGAUGAGCUCAAAAAAAAAUGCCAGUGCUUGCUAGUAAUCUUGUAACAUUUUGUAUAUGUACAAAAGAACCUACUCAGUUUUCUUCUCAUUGUGUUGUUUGAAUAUACAAAAGAUUUUACAUAUAUAUUUUAAUUGAUUCUGGAAUCCUGUGGAUGGUCUAUGACAGUGAUGACUAACCUUUUUGCCAUUGUGUGCCAAAAUCCGGGGGAGCGCAGGAGGGUCGUGCAUGCACGUGCCCUCACCCAUAAUUCGAUGUGCCCCACUCCCCGCACAUGCGCUCGCGACCCCCCGCGCAACUCUUGCUAUUGGCACAGUGGGUCCAGUAGGCCCGUUUUUCACUCUCCCUAGGCUCCAGAGCCUUUCUAGGAGUCUGGGGAGGGUGAAUACGGCCUUCCUCACCCCUCCCCAGAAGACUCGUACAGACCAAUAUCAUUAAUAAAUCAAGAUGCAAAAAAUUUUUCAACUAUUUUAGCAAGAAGAAUGAAUAAUUUUAUAAGUAAUUAUAUAAGGGAAGAUCAAUGUGGAUUUGUAAUGGGCCGUCAAAUGCAUAAUUUGGUUGGAAGAGUGUUAAAUGUAAUUCACGAGAUCAAAAAUCUUAAGCUUAAAGCGGGGAUAUUAGCGUUAGAUAUUUUUAAGGCCUUCAAUUGUGUGAGCUGGCAAGCAUUAAAGAUGGUAAUAGACAGAAUGGGGUUUGGAAAUAAAUUUAAAGGUAUAAUAGAUCAAUUAUAUUCUUGGAACUCUGCCUUAGUGGUAGUGAAUGAUGGAGUUACAGACAAGAUACAACUCGCCAGAGGAACAAGGCAAGGGUGCCCACUCUCACCUGUCCUAUUUGUAUUGGUUAUGGAACUAUUGGCCAAUGCGUUUUUCACUCUCCCUAGGCUCCAGAGCCUUUCUAGGAGUCUGGGGAGGGCGAGGACUUCCUCACCCCUCCCCAGAAGCCCUCCAGAGGCCGGAAACAUCCCAUUUGUAGACUUCAGUUGGGAUGGAAGGCCCAUUUUUAGCUCUCCCCAGGCUCCAGAGGCUUUCUAGGAGCCUGGGGAGGGCGAAAACGGCCUUCCCCACCCCCUGGAAGCCCUCUGGAGGCCGGAAAUGACCCAUUUGCCAACUUCUGGUUCCUUCCUAGCUGGCUUCCAACCAGAAAAGUCAAUGGGAAAAGCUGGAUUUGCUUAACAACCAUAUGGCUUACUUAAUAACUGCAAAUAUUCACUUAACAACUGUGGCAAAAAAAGUUGCAAAAUCAGAUGGGACUAUUUUAAAAACCGCCUUGCUUACUAAUGGUAAUUGUGGUCCCAAUUGUGGUCAUAAGUGAGGACUGCCUGAAAUUGCAAGUCACUUGGUGUUUCAAAGACACAACUUUUGACAUGAUGUAUUUUAAAGGCAGCCUGGGAUUUUUUUCCCCCCUCCUUGUCAGACCACUUUAGCUCCAGUGAAAUAACUGAAUUAUAUGUCCUUAAAUCAUGUCUUGAAAUGGGACAACCUGCAACAUACUCAGUUUUCUCAUUGUGUGGUUUGAACUCGCUUUUAUCUGAUGCUGUAGUAUAUUGCUAUCACAAGACAUCUCCCCUCUAGUAAGAUUUUAAUCUGUCUCCUAUCCUCUUAAAACAUUACAUACUUUGUCAACAUGUUUUUCCAAACUUUGAAGGGGUAUGUUAAGAUAAAUGUAUUCAAUUUGCUAUAGGGGUCUUACUAAGAAAGGUUCAUUAUUUAGUACGCAAUUAUUAGCACAGACUGGGACAUACUAUUGUGAAUGCAAAUACAUGAUCAGAUAUAUGAAAAAUUAAUGCCAUAUGUCAGUGUUUUGCUGGCUUCAUAAUUACUUCUAUCUACUUUGCCAUAUUUAGAUUGAUCUUGCUUUACUAUAUGUUCCUGAUCAAAUUAGAAUAAUUCUUUAAUCAGCUCUGUUAUGCAUGCCAUAGUGGGCCAGGCUAGGAAAGCCAUUCCUGGCACACUGAUGAUGUGUAUAUUUUAUUUGUUGCUAUAAUUUAAAAGUAAAAUAAGAAAUAUUGAUUUCUACUUGACUGGAGACCUGAUUUAGUUUGAAUAUCAGUCUGAUCUUAAUCAGGUGAGAAUUAAUUGAGUUGGAGGUAUUAGAUAUUCAGUGAUGUUAACUGAACCAUGAUCUAUCUACAGAGAAGCUGCCUUUUGUACUGUGUCAGAAAUAACAAAUAGCUUUUGCACUAAAAUGUGGAACAGUCUUUUCAAUGUUUGCUGUACUUUCAAUUUGCAUCGUUACAUAUAUCCAUAAGCAUAUUAUUUUUAAAUAUAUAAUACUCAAAGCAACAUAAUUAUUACAAUGUAUUAAAACAUCUUUUUAAAAAUGAA